AUUGAUUUUGUUAACACUAUAAAAUAAGAAUAAAGCGGUAGUACCUUUUGUAUCAGGGUUGUUUAAUUAAAAAAAUAAUUUAUAUUUCUCGAUAUUAAAUGAGUUAAAUAAAUACGUAUUAGUGUUGUAUAACUAUAUUAAUUUAUUUAGUAGUGAAAAUUUUUCGUAGUUAAAGGUAUCUUGUUAUUGGCGUAUAUAAUAGGAGGGAUUAGCUUUUUAUUGACGUAUAUUGUCGACUGGGUGUGAUAAAUUAGGCUUAAGAUUAGUCAUAUUGGUAGUUUGUUUUAAAUUUUUUAUGUAUAAGUGGAAGGCAUUAUUUAUAAGGUUUAAUUAAUUACUAUGAUGUAAUUUAAUUUAUAAUGAAUAAAUUAGUAUUUUUUUUUUCUGUUGUAUAUAACUCGCGGUUUAUAGAAUUGUUUAUCAAAAACAUUUUUUCAUAUGUGUGAGAUAAGGCCUGCCCAGUGUAAAUAUAAACGGCUGCGGUAUUUUGACUGUGCUAAGGUAGCAUAAUAAUUUGUUUUUUAAUUGGAAGCUGGAAUGAAGGGUUUUAUCUAUAAUUAGUUUUAAUAAUGGGGUAAAUAAUUUGUGUUUGUAGUAAAAACACUACAAUUUUAUAAAGUGACGAUAAGACCCUAUAAGCUUUAUUUAAACUGUAAGUUGAGUUGGUUAUUUAACACUCUUUUUCACAUUAAGUUUUACUGGGGCAGUAGUGUUAUUUAAUUUAACAGAGGUUAUACAUAGUUAUAUGAGUGUAUGAUCUUUUUAUAUAGAUAAAUAGUAUUAGUUACUGUAGGGAUAACAGCGCAAUAAUUUUGGAGAGGCCUUAUUGAUAAAAUUGAUUGCGACCUCGAUGUUGAAUUAAAAUUUCUUUCUGUUGUAGCAGGCAGAGCAGAAGGUUUGUUCAACCUUUAAAAUUUUACAUGAUUUGAGUUCAAAUCGGCUUAAGCCAGAUUGGUUUCUAUCUUUUAUAAUAUAUAAUUUGUGUAAGUACGAAAGGGACACACAGGUUUU
rnacentral:rRNA from 1 species